rnacentral:rRNA from 1 species
GGGGCUGCUAUACAUGCAAGUCGAGCGAAUGGAUUAAGAGCUUGCUCUUAUGAAGUUAGCGGCGGACGGGUGAGUAACACGUGGGUAACCUGCCCAUAAGACUGGGAUAACUCCGGGAAACCGGGGCUAAUACCGGAUAACAUUUUAAACCGCAUGGUUCGAAAUUGAAAGGCGGCUUCGGCUGUCACUUAUGGAUGGACCCGCGUCGCAUAAGCUAGUUGGUGAGGUAACGGCUCACCAAGGCGACAAUGCGUAGCCGACCUCGAUAGGGUGACCGGCCGAG